GAUGAACGCUGGCGGCGUGCCUAAUACAUGCAAGUCGAGCGAACAGACGAGGAGCUUGCUCCUCUGACGUUAGCCGCGGACGGGUGAGUAACACGUGUAUAACCUACCUAUAAUACUGGGAUAACUUCGGGAAACCGGCUCUAAUACCGGAUAAUAUAUUGCACCGCAUGGUUCAAUAGUGAAAGUCGGUUUUUCUGUCACUUAUAGAUGGUUCCCCGCCGCAUUGUCUAGUAGGUAAGGUAACGGCCUAUCAAGGCAACGAUGCGUAGCCGACGUGUGAGGGGGAUAGGCCACACUGGAAGUUGGCCACGGUCCUGAGUCCUAAGGGAGGGAGCAGUAGGGAAUCUUACGCAAUGGGCGAAAGCCUGACGGAGCAACGCCGAGUCAGUGAUGAAGGUCUUCGGAUCGGAAAACUCUGUUAUUAGGGAAGAACAAAUGUGUCAGUAACUAUGCACGUAUUGACGGUACCUAAUCAGAAAGCCACGGCUAACUACGUG
rnacentral:rRNA from 1 species